CUAGUGCUGAAACACCGGUUCCCAUACGAUCACCGAAGGUAAGCAAUGACGAGACUUGUCAAUACCUAGAUGGGCAACUGCUUGAGAAUACCAGGUGCCGUAAG